AUUGAACGCUGGCGGAAUGCUUUACACAUGCAAGUCGAACGGUAGAGGGGGCAACCCCUCGAGAGUGGCGAACGGGUGAGUAAUAUAUCGGAACGUGCCCAGUCGUGGGGGAUAACGUAGCGAAAGUUACGCUAAUACCGCAUACGAUCUAAGGAUGAAAGCGGGGGAUCGCAAGACCUCGCGCGAUUGGAGCGGCCGAUAUCAGAUUAGGUAGUUGGUGGGGUAAAGGCUCACCAAGCCAACGAUCUGUAGCUGGUCUGAGAGGACGACCAGCCGCACUGGAACUGAGACACGGUCCAGACUCCUACGGGAGGCAGCAGUGGGGAAUGUUGGACAAUGGGCGAAAGCCUGAUCCAGCCAUUCCGCGUGCAGGAUGAAGGCCCUCGGGUUGUAAACUGCUUUUGUACAGAACGAAAAGGUUUCUACUAAUACUAGGAGCUCAUGACGGUACUGUAAGAAUAAGCACCGGCUAACUACGUGCCAGCCGCCGCCGUAA
rnacentral:rRNA from 1 species